rnacentral:piRNA from 1 species
UUCAGAAAUGAUUUCUUCUUUUGCCCUGUG